rnacentral:ncRNA from 1 species
AAAAAUAUAUCGAGAAGAAGAAGUAAAAAAGCGCUUGUCUUUAGAGAGACUGUGGGUGGUGAAAACAGUUGGCAAUACUUUUUGAAAUGCAUCUUUGAAUAGUUUUAGCGAUAGGUAGCUAAAAACGGCCAACAACCGUUAUCUGUUUUGAGGCAGGAGAAUCCUAAUCCUGUGAAAAAAAGUGGAACCACGUGUAAACGUCUUUUGA